rnacentral:lncRNA from 1 species
UUUACUUUUUUUUUUCUUUUUUUUUUUUUUUUUUUUUGUGCAGAUUUAUAUGCAAGGCUUUUGAAAGUUCUUAAUUUUCUCCAAUAUUAGGUCUUACAUACUGAGAUAUAGAAGUCAUUUUACUCACCUUAAUAGUCUCAGCUGGGCAUAAUGUAGAUCCAAAACACCAUGAAGAGCAGAAAACAGAAAUGGGAUUCAAGGAACAGAGCCAACAAACUAUUUUUUCACAUAUAUGUUUUCCCUGAUCCAGUAGUUAACAUUUAUGCGCUGCAAAGCUUCUGGCCAAUUUCUUGGGUUUUCCAUUUUCUUAGGUUAUAAAUAACUGCAAAUGUAGUUGCUUCUACCAUCUUCCUUGAUUUACUUCCUUUCUCCAGAAGUGACUGCCAGUUGUUGGACACUAGUUCUAGCCAUUAAAUGAAAAAAAAAAAAUGUAGACUUGAUUUAUCUCUUCCAUUCUUUUUUCCUAUAUUCGGCUUUUUCCACAAAAUGCAACUUUUAGAUAAUGACAUUUUGACUAUUUAAUCAAAGUGGCAGACUUAGUUGCCAACUCCAAUUUAUAUGAUACAUCAUGUGACUUUAAAGAGUUUGUAUGAAAACAGGAUCUCAGUCAAAAUACUGCUUGUGAUUGUACCAUUGUAGACUUCGUCCCAAGGCCUCUGAAGUAAAUUAGGAAAGAACCCUAGCUAUUGUGCAUCUUCUAUGACAUCUACUUCAUAACAGUCACCUAAAAUUUGACAUUAUCCUCAAAAAAAAAAAAAAAAGGUGAAUUAACAACACACAUCUGCAUAACACACAUUUCAUUUUCUUUUAUUUUGUAGAAGCCCUUCUUCCACUGUCCAUUGGAUAGUGUUGGCUCAAAUAAUUUAUGGAGAGGAAGAUACAUAGCCAGUAUGAAACAAGAAAGAUAUAAAUACUAACCUUGGUGCAGGAAAAAAAUGGAAUUAAUACACUAAUGAAAGAACUUUAAUCUAGAGACAUAGUCUCCUGAAUGGACUAAUAAAAAUUUGAUAACCAAAAUUAUCA